GAAGGGGAAGCGCCCUGGACUGGGGGCUGCUGGGGUCCGCUGCGCCUCCGGACCCCGCUCUGAACAUCCCAGCGAUUCCCUCCGGACGAUAGGUCCUAAGUGCUUUGAAGAUGCGGAACUGGCUUGAACUUUCACCAGAGUUGACUUUAUGCCUCAUAUCUAUGGACAAGAAUCAUUUGCAUCGCCUCUGCAGCCUGUAAAGUCAUCAAUAACUUAAAGAAAGGAGAAGACCCCAAGGAACCAGAUAACCCAGAAGGGUGUGCCAGACAAUGUCUAGUGUUCAUUGAAGACGCCUAAUAAUCUUUUUGGCCCAUUUCAGAGUCUGUCGCAAAAAAGUGGAGGGUAGAGGGAUCCCCACCCCAUAAUUCUUCUGAUAGUCCCCAACUUGUUUAUAUUGCCUAUGCUUUUAAUCCUGGCGUAUCUUGUGUAUCAUAACUUUGACGGUGCACCGCUUUCCUAAAGGAAAUGGCGCGAUAAAAUAAUCCAUUAAAAUAUUUAACAGUAUUUAGCAGCAGUUGGCAAAAACAACUGUUAUCAAGGGUUUUGUUUUGUUUUGUUUUUUAAUCUCGACAGAAUUGGCAUGUUUUUUCAAAAGGUCUUCUGCGAGUCAUUUCCCCUCUCCAAGCCUCAGGGUUGUUUUUGUUUAUCUCUAAAAUAGGAGAUUAGAUUUGAUUUCUAAGGUUUCUUCCUGUUUUAAGACUGUGGUUCAACACAGAGUGUUUGCCUCUCCCUGAUUUCACUGAGGCCCUGGGAGCAGAAAACCUAAUAUUUCCCAUUCCCCUUGUAGUGAGAGGAAACUUCCCACCUCCCGGGUCAGUUCUGUUUACCCUUCAGGAGCUAGGUUCCAGCUCACCACCUAUCCCAGGAAGCAGCCCUUUUAAAGUAAAGGCUCUAUUCAAACAUAUGGAAAGAUGCUCAGCCUCAUUUGCAGUCCAAAGAAUGAAUGCAAAUCUGAAGUACAAGGAGAUGCCACUUUUCACUUAGUAGGUUUGCAAAGAUAAAGGUUCGGGAAUGCUCUGUUGGCAAACAGCCCCGACUGAUGCAAUUGUAAAUUGUUCAUCUUUGCAGAGCAAGAUAGCAAUAUGAGCCACAAAAACUUGACCCAGCAAUUCCCCUCAGGAGUUUCUCCUACAGGUAGCCUUACCACCGUGCACAAAGCUGUUUGCCCUGGAGUUCACACGGUAGCACGCUGUAGAAGCAAAAGACUGGCGGUGCCCUGUAAGCCUGUGAAUAUAUUAGAGACACAAAAAUAUAAUUGAACGAGUCAACACGCUCCAGCAGGUGGGGAGGCACCUCACAGAAGAGACUGUCCAAAACGUGAAAAAGUGCUUGUUUUCACUAGACGUCGGGGAAACGCAGACUGAAACCACAGGGAAAUGUUUACACACCCACCAACAUGGCUGGAAUGAAAAAACACCGAGCCCUGGCGAGCACCUGGAAUAACUCGGAGCCUCUAUCCGCUGCUGGGGGGGGGGGGGGGGGGGGAGGAACAGGUAAUCGUUAAACUCCCUCCUAUGGCACUUGGGAGUCUCUGCCGAAGCCGCACGUGCACGGACCUGUGUUCAACGGAAGACACCUGCUGGACGGUUCACAACCUAAAUGUCCGUGACCGACAGAAUGGAUAAAUGGUGCGUACCCAUACAAUGAACUACCGUACAAAAUAGAGACCAGUCGCACAAACACGUGUUGGGUUAAAGAAGCAAGACCUGAGACGGUACGUGCUGCGUGGUUCCAUCAAUAAAAGGUUCGGACUCCCGGCAAAACUGGUCUUUGGUAUGGGCACACGUGGGGGGGGGCAAGGGUUACCCGCGAGGGGGGGGUGCCGGGCUACUAAUAAAACUCGGUAUCUUGGUCCC